rnacentral:rRNA from 1 species
UACGUAGGGUGCAAGCGUUGUCCGGAAUUAUUGGGCGUAAAGAGCUCGUAGGCGGUUUGUCGCGUCGGCUGUGAAAACCUGGGGCUCAACCCCGGGCCUGCAGCCGAUACGGGCAAACGUAGAAUUCGGUAGGGGAGACUGGAAUUCCUGGUGUAGCGGUGAAAUGCGCAGAUAUCAGGAGGAACACCGGUGGCGAAGGCGGGUCUCUGGGCCGAUAUUGACGCUGAGGAGCGAAAGCGUGGGGAGCGAACAGG